CCUACGGGCGGCAGCAGUGAGGAAUAUUGGUCAAUGGCCGGAAGGCUGAACCAGCCAAGCCGCGUGAAGGACGAAGGUGCCAAGCAUUGUAAACUUCUUUUGUCACGGGACAAAAUCAGGCUCUAGAGCCUGACCGAGGGUACUUGAAGAAAAAGCAUCGGCUAACUCCGUGCCAGCAGCCGCGGUAAUACGGAGGAUGCAAGCGUUGUUCGGAGUGACUGGGCGUAAAGAGAAAGUAGGCGGUGUUGUAAGUCAUUAGUCAAAGACUAGGGCUUAACUUGAGUAAGGCUAGUGUUACUAUAAUACUAGAGUAUAAGAGAGGAUAGCAGAAUUCCUGGUGUAGCGGUGAAAUGCGUAGAUAUCAGGAGGAAUACCGUUGGCGAAGGCGGCAAUCUGGCUGGAAACUGACGCUGAGGUGCGAAAGCGUGGGUAGCAAACAGGAUUAGAUACCCCAGUAGUC
rnacentral:rRNA from 1 species